rnacentral:miRNA from 1 species
UAGCUGCCGAGUCAUUCAUCCA